GUCAGGAUAGCUCAGUUGGUAGAGCAGAGGACUGAAAAU
rnacentral:tRNA from 14 species